rnacentral:piRNA from 1 species
UCCACUCAAGAGUAUGAAAGGAUUAUGGCA